CAUAAGCGGAGGAAAAGAAACUAACAAGGAUUCCCCUAGUAGCGGCGAGCGAAGCGGGAAGAGCUCAAAUUUAUAAUCUGGCACCUUCGGUGUCCGAGUUGUAAUCUCUAGAAAUGUUUUCCGCGUUGGACCGCACACAAGUCUGUUGGAAUACAGCGGCAUAGUGGUGAGACCCCCGUAUAUGGUGCGGACGCCCAGCGCUUUGUGAUACAUUUUCGAAGAGUCGAGUUGUUUGGGAAUGCAGCUCAAAUUGGGUGGUAAAUUCCAUCUAAAGCUAAAUAUUGGCGAGAGACCGAUAGCGAACAAGUACCGUGAGGGAAAGAUGAAAAGCACUUUGGAAAGAGAGUUAACAGUACGUGAAAUUGUUGGAAGGGAAACGCUUGAAGUCAGACUUGCUUGCCGAGCAAUCGGUUUGCAGGCCAGCAUCAGUUUUCCGGGAUGGAUAAUGGUAGAGAGAAGGUAGCAGUUUCGGCUGUGUUAUAGCUCUCUGCUGGAUACAUCUUGGGGGACUGAGGAACGCAGUGUGCCUUUGGCGGGGGUUUCGACCUCUUCACACUUAGGAUACUGGUGGA
rnacentral:rRNA from 1 species